AAGAAUGUAUUUUUAGGGAUAAUUUCUAUAGUUUGUAAUUAGAGGAGUGUAGCUGAAAGUGGUUGGUGGUGUUAACCACAAGGAGGAGUGAUAGUGUUCUCUUCAGAGUGUGAAAUGAGCAAACAGUAUUGCUUUAAUGCAGCUGCUGUCUGCUAUUGAUGAUGGUUUUCUUUCCUAUGAGAAAGUUAGAGGAAGAGAGCACAGACUGAGUGGU
rfam:Pelodiscus sinensis unplaced genomic scaffold scaffold2827, whole genome shotgun sequence.